rnacentral:rRNA from 1 species
UGGAAUCGAGUUCACUCCCAACCCCUGUGACAUACCACUUGUUGCCUCGGCGGAUCAGCCCGCUCCCGGUAAAACGGGACGGCCCGCCAGAGGACCCCUAAACUCUGUUUCUAUAUGUAACUUCUGAGUAAAACCAUAAAUAAAUCAAAACUUUCAACAACGGAUCUCUUGGUUCUGGCAUCGAUGAAGAACGCAGCAAAAUGCGAUAAGUAAUGUGAAUUGCAGAAUUCAGUGAAUCAUCGAAUCUUUGAACGCACAUUGCGCCCGCCAGUAUUCUGGCGGGCAUGCCUGUUCGAGCGUCAUUUCAACCCUCAAGCACAGCUUGGUGUUGGGACUCGCGUUAAUUCGCGUUCCUCAAAUUGAUUGGCGGUCACGUCGAGCUUCCAUAGCGUAGUAGUAAAACCCUCGUUACUGGUAAUCGUCGCGGCCACGCCGUUAAACCCCAACUUCUGAAUGUUGACCUCGGAUCAGGUAGGAAUACCCGCUGAACUUAAGCAUAUCAAAA